rnacentral:rRNA from 1 species
UACGUAGGGGGCAAGCGUUGUCCGGAUUUAUUGGGCGUAGAGAGCGUGUAGGCGGCUUGGUAGGUCCGCUGUGAAAACUCGAGGCUCAACCUCGAGAUGUCGGCGGAAACCACUUGGCUAGAGUCCGGAAGAGGAGAGUGGAAUUCCCGGUGUAGCGGUGAAAUGCGCAGAUAUCGGGAAGAACACCUAUGGCGAAGGCAGCUCUCUGGGACGGUACUGACGCUGAGACGCGAAAGCGUGGGGAGCGAACAGG